rnacentral:rRNA from 1 species
AUGGGCAUGGCUAUGGCCAUGGGAGCAAGGUCAACGAUGAAGAAGAGCUUAUUGCUAAUAUUGUUUGUGUGCCCGCUGACCAUCACUGUGACUGAUUGCGCCAAGGACAUCCCUGCCUCUGUUCCCCAGGAUCCUCCAGGAAACAAAAUCUGCGAGACCGUCAACAGAACAUGGCCCUGGUUGAAGUUUUGCGGCAGGCACGGCACCUGCAAUAAGCCAUGCCGGGCAGAAGGGUUCGAGGAAGGCUACUGCGGCAUGUUCCCCUACAUAUCGACCUGUUGUUGCACCAAGCACUGUCUCAGGGCCGCCCCUGGGCAGUCCGUGCAACCCAUGCACAAAGGGGGCAAACAAAUUCAUGCCAUUUUUACAGAAUGCUGA